rnacentral:rRNA from 1 species
CUUCGGGGACAAGUGACAGGUGGUGCAUGGUUGUCGUCAGCUCGUGUCGUGAGAUGUUGGGUUAAGUCCCGCAACGAGCGCAACCCUUAUUACUAGUUGCCAGCAUUUAGUUGGGCACUCUAGUGAGACUGCCGGUGACAAACCGGAGGAAGGUGGGGACGACGUCAAAUCAUCAUGCCCCUUAUGACCUGGGCUACACACGUGCUACAAUGGAUGGUACAACGAGUUGCGAGACCGCGAGGUUUAGCUAAUCUCUUAAAACCAUUCUCAGUUCGGAUUGUAGGCUGCAACUCGCCUACAUGAAGCCGGAAUCGCUAGUAAUCGCGGAUCAGCAUGCCGCGGUGAAUACGUUCCCGGG